rnacentral:rRNA from 1 species
GACGAACGCUGGCGGCGUGCUUAACACAUGCAAGUCGAACGGAAAGGCCCUGCUUUUGUGGGAUGCUCGAGUGGCGAACGGGUGAGUAACACGUGAGUAACCUGCCCUUGACUUUGGGAUAACUUCAGGAAACUGGGGCUAAUACCGGAUAGGAGCUCCUGCUGCAUGGUGGGGGUUGGAAAGUUUCGGCGGUUGGGGAUGGACUCGCGGCUUAUCAGCUUGUUGGUGGGGUAGUGGCUUACCAAGGCUUUGACGGGUAGCCGGCCUGAGAGGGUGACCGGCCACAUUGGGACUGAGAUACGGCCCAGACUCCUACGGGAGGCAGCAGUGGGGAAUAUUGCACAAUGGGCGGAAGCAUGAUGCAGCAACGCCGCGUGCGGGAUGACGGCCUUCGGGUUGUAAACCGCUUUCGCCUGUGACGAAGCGUGAGUGACGGUAAUGGGUAAAGAAGCACCGGCUAACUACGU